AAAACAUGUCUUUUUGAUAAAAAUUUAAAGUCCGGUCUGCUCACUGAAUUAUUUUAAAGAGCCGCAGUAUAUUGACUGUGCAAAGGUAGCAUAAUCAAUAGUUUUUUAAUUGAAAACUAGAAUGAAAGAUUAGACGAAAAAUUAAUUUUCUUUAUUUUAAUAAAUUUAAUUUUAAAUUUAAGUGAAAAUGCUUAAAUAUAAUUAAAAGACGAGAAGACCCUAUAGAUUUUUAUUAUUGAAAUAAAUUUUUAAAUUUAAUUUAAUAAAAUAAUUUAAUUGGGGCGAUUUUAUAAUAUAAAUAACUUAAUUUUUUAAAACCAUAAAUAAUUGAAUGUUUGAUCUAAAAUUUUUAAAGGAAAGAUUAAAUUACCUUAGGGAUAACAGCGUAAUUUUAUUUAAGAGUUCAUAUCUAUAAUAAAGUUUGCGACCUCGAUGUUGAAUUAAGAUAAUAUAUUGGAGUAGAAAUUAAUAUAAUUAGUCUGUUCGACUAUUAAAUUCUUACGUGAUCUG
rnacentral:rRNA from 1 species